UGUGGCCUUGAGCCGUGGCUUUCGGAGCUAACGCGUUAAGUAGACCGCCUGGGGAGUACGGUCGCAAGAUUAAAACUCAAAUGAAUUGACGGGGGCCCGCACAAGCGGUGGAGCAUGUGGUUUAAUUCGAUGCAACGCGAAGAACCUUACCUACUCUUGACAUCCAGAGAACUUUUCAGAGAUGAAUUGGUGCCUUCGGGAACUCUGAGACAGGUGCUGCAUGGCUGUCGUCAGCUCGUGUUGUGAAAUGUUGGGUUAAGUCCCGCAACGAGCGCAACCCUUAUCCUUGUUUGCCAGCGAGUAAUGUCGGGAACUCCAGGGAGACUGCCGGUGAUAAACCGGAGGAAGGUGGGGACGACGUCAAGUCAUCAUGGCCCUUACGAGUAGGGCUACACACGUGCUACAAUGGCGCAUACAGAGGGCGGCCAACUUGCGAAAGUGAGCGAAUCCCAAAAAGUGCGUCGUAGUCCGGAUUGGAGUCUGCAACUCGACUCCAUGAAGUCGGAAUCGCUAGUAAUCGUGGAUCAGAAUGCCACGGUGAAUACGUUCCCGGGCCUUGUACACACCGCCCGUCACACCAUGGGAGUGGGCUGCAAAAGAAGUAGGUAGUUUAACCUUCGGGGGGACGCUUACCACUUUGUGGUUCAUGACUGGGGUGAAGUCGAA
rnacentral:rRNA from 2 species